GUUUAAAUCCCUCACCCCCUCCGAUCCGAGCACAAUCUCCAUUCCCGAGCAGCUCCGAUCCCGUCGAGAUCCGAUCAUCAGGAGAUGGCAGCAUCAGCAGCGACGGCGGCGGGGGGUCUGCAGAUGGUGGCGGCGGGAUCCGCCGUGAGGAUGUUGGCCCCGAGCUCGGCAAUGCCGGGAUCUAGGCUUGCGAGCUCUUCUUGUAUUUUGUCUGUCAAGCCUCUUUCGCUGAAGUUGGCGGCAACUAGACUGGUGAAGGCCGGUGGGGUUGUUACGAGGGCGAUGGCCGGUGAGAGCGCGGCCGCGGCUGUUCCAGGAUUGUCGAUUGAUUUGAGAGGGAAGAGGGCAUUUAUUGCCGGGGUUGCUGAUGACAAUGGCUAUGGAUGGGCAAUUGCUAAGG
rnacentral:misc_RNA from 1 species